UGCUGACUUCGGCAGCACAUAUACUAACAUUGGAACUAUACAGAAAAAAUUAGCAAUGCCCAUGUGCAAAGAUGACAUGCAAAUUCAUGCAGUGUUCCAUAUUUUA